AAAUCAGCAAAACCUUGCCGUCACCUAAUACAAUGGCAUCUUCUGAUCUAAGAACACCUUCUCUUCUCUAACAAGAAAUAACAGGACAAAUAGAGAAUAAAAACAGCAGGCAAAUAAAUAAGGGCCAUCUCAUAGAUGAGCUGAUAACUGGAUAAAAUACAAGUAAAAUGUUAACUAUAGAUAUAGGUGGUGAGUAUAAGAAUUCACUGGAUAACUACUGGAACUUUUUUGCAUGUUUGAAAAUUUUCAUAAUGUCAGAAGCAUCGCAACAAUAUCUAAAAUACAGAUCUGACAAUUUUUUAGGUGUUAUACUAGUUAGACUGGGUGUUGUUUUUAAUUAUAAGAAAUACUUUCUACGCCAGGCACAGUGGCUCAUGCCUGUAAUCCCAGCACUUUGGGAGGCUGAGGCGGGUGGAUCACUUGAGGUCAGGAGUUUGAGACCAGCCUGGCCAACAUGGUGAAACCCCAUCUCUACUACACAAAUAAACAAACAAACAAAAAACACACACAGAUUAGCUGGGCAUGGUGGCGCAUGCCUGUAGUCCCAGUUGCCUGGGAGGCUGAGGUUGCAGUGAGCCAAGAUUAGGCUAUUGGACUCCAGCCUAGGCAACAGAGUGAGAUCCUGUCUCAGAAACAAAAACAAAAGAACAAACAAACAUUAGCCAGGCAUGGUGGCAGGCACCUGUAAUGCCAGCUACUCAGGAGGCUGAGGCAGAAGAAUCACUUGAACCUGGGAGGUGGAGGUUGCAGUGAGCUGAGAUUGUGCCACUGCAUGCCAGCCUGGGCGACAGAGUAAUACUUUGUCUGAAAAAAUAAAAAUAAAAUAAAACAUAAAAAAGCUAUCUUUUAGAUACGUAUUAAGAUAUUAUACAUGAAGUGAUAUGAUAGCUGGAACGUGCUUUAAAAUAACUCAAGGGGUUGGGUACAAAUGAAACGAGACUGAUCAUAACUGUGAGAGCUAAGCCCAGAGUACAUGACCUAGUUGUUCUAUUUCUAUGUUUUUUGUUAGAAAACAAAUUGAAAAUACAACCCUGGGAAGAAAUUAUGUAGUCAAGUAACUAUACUAUCAAAAUGAAUUAGACAUUUGAAGCAAUUAUCUAUAAAACUGUAGUAAAAAUUGCCCUGAAUCAAGUGAUUCAGCCAAAGGAAAGUCUGUUGAUUAUAUUGCACUCCCCCCCCCGCUUCUUUUUUUUCAAACAAUCAGCUUUCUAUUGCUACUUUUACUGUAGGCCUGACUCUCAAUACAGAAACUUCAAAAUGGGCGCCUAUUCAAUCAGAAUUUGAAAUUUCUAUUUUAUCCUGCCUCGUGAAUUAAUGAGCACAAGUUCUUUAUAGGAUUCCAGCUAAUAGAUGCAGAAGGAAUGACAAGAUAUCACUGGUUGGCAACCUCUAAUGGAAUCCCAGAUGUGGGCAAAUAUCAUUAAUGAUGGCUAAAUCCAUCAGGGGAAAAGCUGAUAGAGAACUUUUGUAAUGAAUGGAGUGGGCUGGCAGCAUCCAAACCCACUAUCAAUCUUAAUGUUACAAGAUGAGAGCCAUUAUGUGCCAUGAUGUGAUACAACAUGGAGCAUAUAUCACCUAUGAAUUAUUUUUGUGAAAAAGCAAAACAGAACAACAGAAGCCCUCUAGAUCUGUCAGUUUAUAGAACAUAUAGGGGACAGAAAAGGUGUACAUGAUCCCAUUAGGAUACAUUCAGUAAAAUCCACUGAAGGACAAUUCUAUAGGACAAACAACUUAGUUUCUUCAAAAAUUAAAAACAGGAAAGUUAAAUCUAUAGAUUAUAUUAACAAAAUGCAAGAUCUAGAUCUUGCCUGGAUCUUGACUCGAAUAAACCAACUGUUAAAAAAAACUUACGAGACAAUCAGGAAGUUUGAAUAUUGACUGGUACUUGGCAUCAAAAAAUGUUUUAGCAGUCUUACACAAUGGUAUUGUGGUUAUGUUCAAAAAAGUACCCUAUCUUUGGAGUUAUAUUUGAAUGUCUCUGAUCACACAGACAUGAAAAUACUAUGCCUGUUAAUGGGACUCAAACUGAUCCCUGUGGGUUGGGGCAGGGGAUAGGUGGGGAUGCAGGUAAACAAGACUGACCACAGGACAGCUGUUGGAGGAUGGGUACACAGAGCUUCAUUCUGCUAUUCUUUUUGUGCAUUUGUGAAAAUUUCCAUAAUAAAAUGUUUUUAAAAAUGAGUUUGGAUAGCAUUAUACUAUAAAAUAUUUUAAAAUUUCCUUCUUUAAUGAAGACUUGCAAGCAGAAAAAUAUAAUUUUCUAAGGGUCAAUUAACUAGUACAUUAACUCAAGUAACAGUUACUUAGCGCAGGGCAUGGUGGCUUAUGCCUAUAAUCCCAGUACUUUGGGAGGCCAAGGUGGGAGGAUGGCUUGAGCCAGGAGUUCAAUACCAACCUGGGCAACAUAGGGAGACCUCUGUCUCUUACAUAAAUAAAAAAAAUUAGCCAGGUAUGGUGGCAUGUGCCUGUGGUCCCAGCUAUUUGCAGGGCUGAGGUAAGAGGAUUGCUUGGGCCUGAGAGGUGGAGGCUGCAGUGAGCCAGGAUCAUGCCACUGCACUUCAACCUGGGCAAAAGAGCAAGAGCCUGUCUCAAAACAAACAAAAAAGUUUCUUAGAAACUGAUAAAUAAAUAUAAUUUUUAAAAGAUUGUACAAAUUACUGUUAUUGCAUGACUAAGAGACUACUAAAAGUUGGGAUUUUUUUUUUUGAGACAGAGUCACACUCUGUCACCUAGGCUGGAGUGUAGUGGCGUGAUCUUGGCUCACUGCAACCUCUGCCUCCUGGGUUCAAGUGAUUUUUUGUGCCCCAGUGCCCCAAGUAGUUGGGACAACAUGUGUGUACCAUGCCUGGCUAAUUUCUGUAUUUUUAGUAGAGACUUUUUUUUGUUUGUUUUGAGAGGGAGUCUUGCUCAGUCGCCAAGCUGGAGUGCAGUGGCGCCAUCUUGGCUCACUGCAAGCUCCGCCUCCCGGGUUCACGUCAUUCUCAUGCCUCAGCCUCCUGAGUAGCUGGGACUACAGGCGCGUGCCACCACACCCGGCUAAUUUUUUGUAUUUUUUUAAAUAGAGACGGGGUUUCACCAUGUUAGCCAGGAUGGUCUCGAUUUCCUGACCUCGUGAUUCACCCACCUUGGCCUCCCAAAGUGCUGGGAUUACAGGCGUGAGCCACCGCGCCUGGCCGAGACGGCGUUUUACCAUGUUGGCCAGGCUGGUCUCAAACUCCUGACCUCAAGUGUUCCACCAGCCUCGGUCUCCCGAAGUGUUGGGAUUACAGGCGUAAACCACAAUGCCAGGCCAAAAAUUGGGAUUUUAAACCAAAAGGAGAAACCUUUGAUAAACUGAACAUCAAUUCCAGGUAAAACUAGGCUCUGGAGUCAGCCAGAUCUAGGUUUGAAUCCUAGCUCUGUCAUUUUCUAUCUACCAGUUCAAUGUUUUUUGGCAUAGCACACAAUUUCUGUGACCCUUAGGCUCCACAUCUAUAAUGUGGCAGCAACAACUUUCUUGGUCAGUAGAGCACUCUGCAAAGGGCCUGGCACAUGGUAAGUGCUUGGUGUAGAAUUCAAAUAAUUCCACUACCAUUUCAGUCAUAAAUGCAUACUUUUCUAUAAUCUAACAUCUCUCAAAUUGGGAUGUCUCAUAAUUGAUGGCAUAUCAUGAUUUAAUUGGCAGGUUUUUUCCUUAGUCGUUUGUAAAAAAUGGUGCUACAGAUCAAUAGCAUCUAAGAGUCAAUAUACCAUGGUAUCAAUCAUUGUAAAGAUAUAUUCCCAAUUUCUGUUCUAAGGUUACUCUGAAUAACCAAUCUGAGAUUUAAAAUAUUUAAAGUCUGAGUAAAAUAUUUCUAAUACAUCAUGAACAGAACAGUUUUGAGACAAAUUAAUUUUGUAAAAAAUGGUUUAUCAAUUCCAUUUUUGUAUAAAACACACGGGAGAAACCUAGCCAAUCAACACACAACUGUCACCACAUGAAAAGGUACUUUUAUCAAACUUCGAGUCUAAGAACAUACAAAUGUUUCUUUUAUCAUGUCUACAGUAAUUGUCUAUGCUUUUCCAUUUAACUGUUGUUAAAAAUUCCACAUAUCCCCAUUAUUUCUUCUGUCCCAGUUACAGUACAAUGACGGGGAGGAAGAGGGUUGGUUAAAGCAUCCCUCUAAGCAGUUUUCUGCUGUCCCUUCUUUCCAAUCAGAGAUUUGUGGAUGUGAGGGAUCACACCUAGAAUGAAAUUUAAAAAAGUUAUUAAAAACUUUUAAAGUUUUUGCCUCAAGUAAAAAGUUAAUUAUAGAAAAAAUGAAAUUUACUUAAGUCCCUUUUCAUAUUCUGAUACUGUUAAACUAUCUAUACCAAUGGCUACACCCCAGGGGUCUGUGAACCCUUUAAAACUGUAUGUAAAAUUGUGUGACUUUCCGUGCAUUUUUUGAGAAGAGUAACCAUAGCUUUUUUUUUUUUUUUUUUUUGAGAUGGCCUCACUUUGUCGCCAAUGCUGGGGUGCAGUGGUGUAAUCUUGGCUCACUGCGACCUCUGUCCUGGGUUCAAGUGAUUCUCCUACCUCAGCCUCCUGAGUAGC
rnacentral:lncRNA from 1 species